CCUACGGGAGGCAGCAGUAGGGAAUAUUGCUCAAUGGGGGAAACCCUGACGCAGCAACGCCGCGUGGAGGAUGAAGGUUUUCGGAUUGUAAACUCCUUUUGUUAGAGAAGAUAAUGACGGUAUCUAACGAAUAAGCACCGGCUAACUCCGUGCCAGCAGCCGCGGUACUAACGAGGGUGCAAGCGUUACGCGGAAUCACUGGGCGUAAAGAGCGAGUAGGCGGGAUAGCAAGGCAGAUGUGAAAUCCUAUGGGUUAACCAUAGAAAUGCAUUUGAAACUGUGAUUCUAGAGUAUGGGAGAGGUAGGUGGAAUUCUUGGUGUAGGGGUAAAAUGCGUAGAGAUCAAGAGGAAUACUCAUUGCGAAGGCGACCUGCUAGAACAUAACUGACGCUGAUGCGCGAAAGCGUGGGGAGCAAACAGGAUUAGAUACCCUAGUAGUC
rnacentral:rRNA from 1 species